rnacentral:lncRNA from 1 species
GGGAAUAAUAUUUGCCUUCUCACCUAGGGAACCACAGCAAGCACGACGUAAAAACUCCCGGCGUCUACUCCUUCUUCUUCGCCUCUUCACCUUUCCAUCAUCUCCGAUCCAACUCGCCACGAUCCUUGCCGCCACAAAGGCCUUGUUAUUCCGAUCUACGCCAAACAUACUAAGCCCUCAUGGACAGCAAAGGGACAUGGUGGAUCAAUGGGACAGCCAAGAUACGUGGUAGAACCUAACCGUAUUUUCCACGGGAGGAAGAACGACCACCACGGAUGACCGACGACGGCGGCGGUGGCAAAACCCUAGGCCCUCUCCUCCUCUUCCCUCUUCUCCUUUCUCUCUUUCGUGAAUUUUGUAGGUAGAAUGGCGGCGGUUCGUGACCAGGUUGGGAGGAACAGGGAAAACACCGACUCGCGGUAGGAGAAGGGUCGGGUGUGGUACUGUACACCGCGGGUACUGUAGCGCCGGCUAGAGUAUUUUUUUAUUUUUUACCUUUUUUUCUUUAUCUAUUUAUCCCUCAGGCAUUACAAUUACCUACCUCAACAAAAUGAUAAAAGCCAAAAAGGCUCAAGCAUACAUCUCCCUUACCAUCCGAGGCCCGCGCAACUGUGCCUCAAAAGACCCCGAUUCGCCUAAGGCCCAACCACCAGGUCUCGAGUGGGUUAAAACCGCUUUCAAAACUAUACUCUAAUUUUGUAGCUCCCUUAAGGCGUCGGUAGUACCUGCAGUUUGCGUCGGUAGUACU